UAAAAUCCAUAAAACUAUUUUCCCCCUUUCUGAUUAACCAUUACCAUCACAAACACCCGACCCUUCCUUCUAUCACUAACGCUGCACCACCGCCUUCCAUCUCCAUUACCGCCCUCCAUCACCGCCUCCUUCAAUCUCCAUCGCCGCUGUUCCAUCGUCAUCUGCAUCUCCACCACCAUUCAUAACCGAUCAGAGAUUUGGAGUUGUCAUCACCGGCUACCAACACCAAUAAUAGUCGAUCUUGAUUUGAAGGUUGUGAACGAAACCUACAGUGUGUUCUUGAAUUAAUGUGAUCAUGGUCAUUUUUUAGUUUCUAGCCUGCAUUUGACGUGUACUUGAUAAUGGUGGUGCAAAGUUGCGGCACCAUAAGGAUAAGUCAGCACAAUUAUCUUGGGUGUGAGCUCAAAGAUGGGCGAUGAAGCAACCCUUCUCUUGCAAGAAGUGGAGGAGCAGCUAAUUACAACUCAGUAGCCAUAAAUUUAGCCCGAUGACAAACACGUAACCAUACAUUGUCCUACUUAUACAUGUUACGAGAUUAGUUACCCUCACAAGGUAUGCGACAAUCUUUGAUGUAUUUAUAUUAUAUUUAGCGUUUCAAUCUUUUUUUCUUAUGUGUUUCUAUUUUGCGUUGGAUUCAUAUUUGUUAGUGUUUGAAAAAGGCUAAUGUUCAUGCUUUAGUGUCUUUUGUGAAAAAUUGAGAUCCAUACAAGUUCAAAUUGCAUUCAUUUUAGCCAAUUUUUUGGCAACUUUUGUGCUAUAUUUAAGAACACUAAGGCCAACAUUUUUUAUGGGCAUAGAAGUUUAUUCAAGAAGUUCUACAUAACUCUAAUCUGAGCUAGCAUCAAUUGUUUUUAUAUCUCAUCUUUUUUAAGGAAUUUGCUCUCCUAAGUCCUAAUUGCAAACAACUACAAUCUAUAAAUCUGGUACUUUUAUAUGGUGUACAAUAAUGGAUAUGUGUUCUGAUUUUUGUAAAGGGCUGAUUUUGAAGCUUAAUGAUCAGCAUACAAUAUAGUUACAGACGAUUAUGUCCAUUCCGUUUCAAAGUAAGUAUACUUGUAUAUGGGUCCAGAGUCCCAUGCAAACAUCUUGAGGUGUAUAGUUACAUACCACGAGCAAAAAAUUUGGUUAAUGCUGCUCUGGCUGUCAUUAUUAACAGAUUAAUAAGGUGUAUAGCUUUUUUGAUUAAAUAAAUAUGUUGGAUAAUUGGAUCAAUGAAAAUUUUGACAUUAACUACUGUUCAAGUGAUCUGGUGUAUGCAUCUUUCUUUCACUUUAUAGAUUUCUAACGUUAAACAACGUUAAACGUUAAACAUAAUUUGAUUCAUUUGCUGUUACAGUGUUACUGUAAGAUAUAUUUGUUUCUGUUUUGCUACUUGAUGAGUUAAUGCAGAUUGAGAUCUUAUUAAUGGUUCUUGCAGUUGCCUCAGGUUGAAUUUGGGACGAGACGAGUAACAUUUCUAUCAACUUUAAUAUAAAAAUAGUUUACUUUUAUAAGGACUAACCUGUAAAUCACCAGUGCUGCAAACCCUUCUCAUAUGGCAAGCAGAGAAGUGAUGAUCAUUUUAGUUCAAAACUUUAUGCUCAAAUUUGAGGACUCCAAUCAAGCUAUCGAAUUUUGUUUGAAAAAGGAGCCAUUUGGCCUUCUAUCAAAAGAUCCAUGACUACAACUCCUUUGCAUCAUCUUCAUUGCAUUCUUAUUUCCAUCACAGCAAUGAGGCAAGAAAGAAUUAUUGUCGAUAUAUUAUUAUAAAACAGUAGUUGACUUUCUUCUGCUUUGACCUCAGGAGGGGACAAACCUAUGGAAUUUAGUGGAUUGUCCAUUUGGUAUAAGGAUAGAUUUUCAAGCUGAUGGCUUGGCGGCGAGGUUGAUAGAAGGGUAGUCGAGAUGGUGCAGGUAAUCUGACCAAGUUCAUCAAAUGGCGCGUGGAGAUUUUAUGUGCUCAAAGUAAAUGAUGAUAAAGGGUUUAAAUCGUAACUAUUCCUUGAAAUGCUUUGAGGAUGUCUAUGGAGUUGGUGUCGCUCGAUGGAUCAAUGAAGAAAUACCCGUCAACUUCUUGCAAUUCACAAGACAUUAAGUAGAUAUUUUAUUUUUUGAAACCCGAACUUGUGUAAGUCAUUUUUUUUUUGUCUCGGUAAAAAGGGUGUAGCUAGAACUUGUGACAAUCUUGAAAGGGUAAGUACUCUCUCUUUUGUUUACGAUCAGGUGAGACUUGCAUUUUUUUAAACAGUUGUGCGGAAACAACUCCAAUUGAUUCCGUAUCAACAAUUUUAUGUAUAGAUUUUUCAUUGGAAUGCUGAACUUGCUUAUGCUAUCUCCAA